rnacentral:rRNA from 1 species
CGGCGGACGGGUGAGUAACGCGUGGGUAACCUGCCUCAUACAGGGGGAUAACAGUUAGAAAUGGCUGCUAAUACCGCAUAAGACCACAGUACUGCAUGGUACAGUGGUAAAAACUCCGGUGGUAUGAGAUGGACCCGCGUCUGAUUAGGUAGUUGGUGAGGUAACGGCCUACCAAGCCGACGAUCAGUAGCCGACCUGAGAGGGUGACCGGCCACAUUGGGACUGAGACACGGCCCAG